rnacentral:rRNA from 1 species
CAGUCGCCGCGGUAAUACAGAGGGUGCGAGCGUUAAUCGGAUUUACUGGGCGUAAAGCGUGCGUAGGCGGCUUCUUAAGUCGGAUGUGAAAUCCCUGAGCUUAACUUAGGAAUUGCAUUCGAUACUGGGAAGCUAGAGUAUGGGAGAGGAUGGUAGAAUUCCAGGUGUAGCGGUGAAAUGCGUAGAGAUCUGGAGGAAUACCGAUGGCGAAGGCAGCCAUCUGGCCUAAUACUGACGCUCAGGUGCGAAAGCGUGGGGAGCAAACAGGAUUAGAGACCCCUGUAGUCCCUGUCUCUUAUAC